ensembl:misc_RNA Metazoa_SRP Metazoan signal recognition particle RNA
GCUGGGCGUGGUGGCUCACGCCUGUAAUCCCAGCAAUUUGGGAGGCUGAGGCGGGUGGAUCACCUGAGGUCAGGAGUUUGAGACCAGCCUGGCCAACAUGGCGAAACCCCGUCUCUA